rnacentral:lncRNA from 1 species
AAACGUAUUUCUUUUCUUCAUUUAUGCAGGUCAUCUUCAUCAACAGGUGCGCCGGAUGUCGUAACCUCUGAACCUCCAGCUCAGACACAGACACCAACACCAGGAGACGGGGCGUCGUCUAGUACCAGUUGUGUGGGUAAGGCACCAGGAAGCUAUGCAAUCCCAGGAGACUGCAAAAACUAUAUGGUAUGCUCCAAUGGAAAUA